rnacentral:lncRNA from 1 species
CACAUUUUGAAGAUAUGGAAUGUGCUCUCGGACAGGCCUAUCAUUGUUUAGCAAAAGCUUUGUUGAUCUUUGGACAACCGAAAGAGGCUCGAUUUUAUUUUGCUAAAUCAAACGCGUAUAAAGAAAAAUAUAAGGGUUUUUAUUUCUAAUAUUCAAUCUCACACAUAUAUGCCAUUAUAGGACUCGGAACCGUGAUGGUACUUCGAACCGCGAUGGUCAAGCUGAACUGCGAUGGUCCCCACUGAGGUGUGUUGUUUAAUACGCUUAUGUGCGAUGGCG